GAUGAACGCUAGCUACAGGCUUAACACAUGCAAGUCGAGGGGCAGCAUGGAGAUUGCUUGCAAUCUUUGAUGGCGACCGGCGCACGGGUGCGUAACGCGUAUCGAACCUGCCCUGUACACGGGGAUAGCCUUGCGAAAGCAAGAUUAAUACCCGAUGUUUUGGUGAUGCCGCAUGACAUUACCAACAAAGAUUUAUCGGUACAGGAUGGCGAUGCGUCCCAUUAGCUUGUUGGCGGGGUAACGGCCCACCAAGGCAUCGAUGGGUAGGGGUUCUGAGAGGAAGGUCCCCCACACUGGAACUGAGACACGGUCCAGACUCC
rnacentral:rRNA from 1 species